GAAUGACAAGUACCUGCAUGAUAAUAAUUAUACAGACCGCUCUUUACCACACCAUCACCUUGCUGCGGUAUCAACCACGGUAGAUUAUUAUACCUAGUUACAGGUGAUCUAUAAUCUACCGCGGUGUCAACGGUCAUUUCCAAUGCUAUGCGUCCGUCUGUGUCAAAGACGAUUGCCGAGUCAGUUCCGCGUAUGACCUUCGUCGAAUUACGGCUCCGUCGCUUUUAUACGCGUCGGCGACUUUCUCGGAUUUUUAUACGACUUGUACGUUGUGCUUAGCGGUUGUCGGCCCAUCGUAUCUCUCGACGAUUUCGAUAAAUCACGUCUUUGUACGAUCGAAACACUUGUGUCGCGCGCCUUUGUCCGAUUUCGACCGUUUACCGUCUCGAUCGGUAUAAUAUCGUUCGACCGUUUUUGGUGUGGCGUGUCCGUUACGCAUCGUACGUCAUUCGUAAAGUGCUAAGAAAAUAGGCCGGCUGAUGAUUUACCCGCGUGGGUACGUCAUCACUUGCGGGACCACUGUCGCUGUCAAAUGUCAAUAAUUGUCAACCCUCAAUUGGUCUACGGUCUUCGCUUAACCUCAAACCGGAGUUCAAUAGUCAGUUCGUCACCGAGAAAGGAAUCGCAUAAAUAGGAUUUUGUUAUACAUACUAUAGCUGCACAGUAUUCAAGGAGCAUCCUGAAGAUAUACAAACCUCUGAUUUUCAAAUGACAACUAUCCUUUUAUAUACGGAAAAUUAUCUAAAAAUGUUGAUGUACGAAAUCAAAAUUGAAAUGAAAAUAAUAAAAAGAGAAAAAACGCUUCCGGAGCAUCCUAACCGGAAAAUCGUCUACGGCUGCAGUUCUACUCACGACUCGUCCCCUUUAGUGUGGACCCAAUCACGACGUGUUUAUUGCCCGAAGCGAGUGGUUAUAUAUUAUUAUUGUUAUUACUUAUUACCGUAUACGUGGAAUCGGUGGACGAGAGACCAUCUUUUAUAUAACUCGGUGAUGAGCGAAACAGAUAGUACUACCUAAUAAUAAUAUGCACUAACUUUAUUAUUAAGACUAGUGACUUUAUGCUAAAAAAACUCUUAAAAAUGCAUAAAAAGAUCAAAAAAUUUAAAUUAACGUGUUAUAUAUAAAAAAAAUUAUAUUAACGAUUAAGUAAAAAAUAAUGAAAACAAUUUAUUCAUGUAGGGAGUAAAAAUACAUUUUCUAAUAAAAUUAAACAAAAAGAUGCACCUACUGACUAGAAUGUGUAUUAUGCGUAUAUGAUGUAUGUAUAAUGCAUAUUGCAUAUAUCGCCGAUCGGGAUACGUUUACUACUCGUAAAAAUAGUAUAAUGUUGUGUUAGAACUUUACAAAUACCUAUAAUGGGUAGUUCAAAAUAAAAUCAUCAUACAGAGUAUGUUAUUGAAUCAAACUAUAUUCUUUGACGAAAUAUGUUAGCAUACGGGUCUUAAGUUCGGAAAACUAUAAUAUUCCAAAAGGUGAUCGAAAUGACAAUAAUAAUUUUAAAUGUGUCUGAAACCAAACUUUUUCACGUGUUCUUCACUCUUAAAAAAAAAAAAAAAUUAUUCAAAGACCUAAGUGCAUUAGCGUUUUAUUGUUGUGCAUUUAUAAGAUACAUUACGACUGUUUAAGACUUAUUAUUUUUCCAAAGAUGAAGACCCAUUUAUUUUAUUGAUCGUAGAUUAAAAAUUCAUUUUCCUUUAUAAUUCAUACUAUUAUCGUCCCAAAGGUGCAUAGGCGUAUUAUGUAUAUAUCUUUUUUUUUGGUAGCAUGCUUGAAUAAUAAGUCGAUCGCCCCUUUUAUACCAGUUGAAUAUUCAUAUAGCUUAAAUUCGAAAUUGAGUGUUCAUAAAUAUUUCAGUUGAUUGUCAGAACCUUUGUCCAAUAAACACUUAAAUUCAAAUAAUUGCCACGAGAAAAUAUUUUAAGAAUUAUAAAAAAAUUAAAAGGACUUCAAAAUAGCAAUCAACCACUGAAUAUUAAAUAAAUGCACUACGGUUGUAUUCUACUAAUAUGAGUAAUUAAUUGAAUUGUAAUUGAAUCAAUAAUUCGGUAAAAUACAGGGAUGAAUUGAAACGGUUUCUAAUCAAUUAUUAUCGGUCUAUUCAAACUCAUAUUCCUUUAAUAAAUUAAAUAUAAAUAAAAAAAUGGAUAGUAAUAGAAACUAAGGAACUUAAUUCAGAUAAUACAUUUUUGACAAACACAAUACGUGGUAAAUUACAAUAAAUGCUUUCAAUCUUAUCAACAAUUUAAAAAGUUUGAAUAAUUAAGUGACCUGUCUUC